UACGAAGGGGGCUAGCGUUGCUCGGAAUCACUUGGGGCGUAAAAGGGUGCGUAGGCGGGUCUUUAAGUCAGGGGUGAAAUCCUGGAGCUCAACUCCAGAACUGCCUUUGAUACUGAAGAUCUUGAGUUCGGGAGAGGUGAGUGGAACUGCGAGUGUAGAGGUGAAAUUCGUAGAUAUUCGCAAGAACACCAGUGGCGAAGGCGGCUCACUGGCCCGAUACUGACGCUGAGGCACGAAAGCGUGGGGAGCAACAGG
rnacentral:rRNA from 1 species